rnacentral:rRNA from 1 species
UACAGGGGGGGCAAGCGUUGUUCGGAAUUACUGGGCGUAAAGGGCCAGUAGGCGGCCAACUAAGUCCGACGUGAAAUCCCCAGGCUUAACCUGGGAACUGCAUCCGAUACUGGAUGGCUUGAAUUCGGGAGAGGGAUGCAGAAUUCCAGGUGUAGCGGUGAAAUGCGUAGAUAUCUGGAGGAAUACCGGUGGCGAAGGCGGCAUCCUGGACCGACAUUGACGCUGAGGAGCGAAAGCCAGGGGAGCAAACGGG